GGUUUUUAAUUUAACAAUUCGAGUGCAUUGCAUUGAAUAUACAAAUUGAGGUUUGUGUGGAUCCUAAUAGAGGUUAAUGAAAGAUCCUCUAGUUCUCGAGCUAACAACAAAGCCUAUUCAAUAUAAAGAUUCAAUCUUUAUGCCCUAUUUCAUAUAAAACGAAUCUUUCAACAAGUAGAAGUGAGAUUCGAGUGUUUUGAGACUUGUUAUUGAUUUUACUAUCCACAAACACAUCAUUUGCUUUAUAAUUCUUUUUUUUAGUUUUUGAAUGAUAUAGGGGUCCUAUUAUGUUUGUGAGUCUAAUUCCCUCAAAUCAGGUGUGUGUGUAUUUUAAUUUAACAAUUCGAGUGCAUUGCAUUGAACUUACAAAUUGAGGUUUGUGUGGAACCUAAUAGAGGUUAAUGAAAGAUCCCCUAGUUCUCGAGCUAACAACAAAGCCUAUUCAAUAUAAAGAUUCAAUCUUUAUGCCCUAUUUCAUAUAAAGAUCGAAUCUUUCAACAAGUAGAAGUGAGAUUCGAGUGUUUUAGACUUGUUAUUGAUUUUACUAUCCACAAACACAUCAUUUGCUUUAUAAUUUUUUUUUGUUUUUUAAUGAUAUGGGGGUCCUAUUAUGUUUGUGAGUCUAAUUCCCUCAAAUCAGGUGUGUGUGUAUUUUAAUUUAACAAUUCGAGUGCAUUGCAUUGAACUUACAAAUUGAGGUUUUUGUGGAUCCUAAUAGAGGUUAAUGAAAGAUCCUCUAGUUCUCGAGCUAACAACAAAGCCUAUUCAAUAUAAAGAUUCAAUCUUUAUGCCCUAUUUCAUAUAAAGAUCGAAUCUUUCAACAAGUAGAAGUGAGAUUCGAGUGUUUUGAGACUUGUUAUUGAUUUUACUAUCCACAAACACAUCAUUUGCUUUAUAAUUUUUUUUUUAGUUUGUAAUGAUAUGGGGGUCCUAUUAUGUUUGUGAGUCUAAUUCCCUCAAAUCAGGUGUGUGUGUAUUUUAAUUUAACAAUUCGAGUGCAUUGCAUUGAACUUACAAAUUGAGGUUUGUGUGGAUCCUAAUAGAGGUUAAUGAAAGAUCCUCUAGUUCUCGAGCUAACAACAAAGCCUAUUCAAUAUAAAGAUUCAAUCUUUAUGCCCUAUUUCAUAUAAAGAUCGAAUCUUUCAACAAGUAGAAGUGAGAUUCGAGUGUUUUGAGACUUGUUAUUGAUUUUACUAUCCACAAACACAUCAUUUGCUUUAUAAUUUUUUUUUUUAGUUUUAAUGAUAUGGGGUCCUAUUAUGUUUGUGAGUCUAAUUCCCUCAAAUCAGGUGUGUGUGUGUUUUAAUUUAACAAUUCGAGUGCAUUGCAUUGAACUUACAAAUUGAGGUUUGUGUGGAUCCUAAUAGAGGUUAAUGAAAGAUCCUCUAGUUCUCGAGCUAACAACAAAGCCUAUUCAAUAUAAAGAUUCAAUCUUUAUGCCCUAUUUCAUAUAAAGAUCGAAUCUUUCAACAAGUAGAAGUGAGAUUCGAGUGUUUUGAGACUUGUUAUUGAUUUUACUAUCCACAAACACAUCAUUUGCUUUAUAAUUUUUUUUUUUUUUUUUUAAUGAUAUGGGUGUCCUAUUAUGUUUGUGAGUCUAAUUCCCUCAAAUCAGGUGUGUGUGUGUGUGUUUUAAUUUAACAAUUCGAGUGCAUUGCAUUGAACUUACAAAUUGAGGUUUGUGUAGAUCCUAAUAGAGGUUAAUGAAAGAUCUUCUAGUUCUCGAGCUAACAACAAAGCCUAUUGAAUAAUAGAAUUUUUUGCACGCGAUGCGUGCUUGGAUUUUUUUCGAAACAGAAACUCGAUUUUCUUCGGCAUAAGAGUCAAAAUUUGAACAUUAGACAUAUGAAGUAUAAUUGUUUUUAGUUGCAAAAUUUGAGUGGUUCAUUUUCUGUCACUUAAGUCUCUCACCAUUAUUUUUGUCUUUUUAUUUUUUUUACUUUUCAAAGUUAAAUUCUAUGAACAAAAUAGAAAUUUUAUUGAAUUUAUUUAUGAUUUCUAAUAUUAUAAUUUUUUAGUUGAUUUUUGAAUUAAGUACAGUACUAACUUCUAAAUUCUAAAUACUAUAAAAAAGAAAAUAAUUUUUUUUCCUUGUCUAACUUCUAAAUUCUGAUUUCACUUCAAAUACACCUCUAUUUUUAUCACGAGUCAUCAUUAAUUGUCAAUGGUUCUUGAGAAUAUUGAUUUGUAAGUAAAUUUUUGUAAAUGUUUUUGUAUGUAUUGACGUUCUAGGUUAUUAGUUUUAGUUUGUAUGUUAAUUUUAAGUUUUAAUUAAGUUUCCUGAUUAUUUGAGUGAUAUGCAUGAUUUUUGUAACGUGAUUUUCUCAACUGUAUGAGUGAUUUGUACAGUUUCUUCUUUUAAGUGAUUUGUGAGUGAGUGUUGUUAAUUUUCGGUAGUUUUCUUUGAGUGCCGAUUUUGAUUUGACAUUCCUUUUAUAAUUUAGAAAAGGAAGGGGGCAAAAUAGGCAUUUCAAAAAAGGACACCAUUGCUCCCCCCUUCCCUUAUAUAAUAGAGAUAAAGAUUCAAUUUUUAUGCCCUAUUUCAUAUAAAGAUCGAAUCUUUCAACAAGUAGAAGUGAGAUUCGUGUGUUUAGAGACUUGUUAUUGAUUUUACUAUCCACAAACACAUCAUUUGCUUUAUAAUUGUUUUUUUUAGUUUUGUAAUGAUAUUGGGUUCCUAUAUGUUUGUGAGUCUAAUUCCCUCAAAUCAGGUGUGUGUGUAUUUAAUUUAACAAUUCGAGUGCAUUGCAUUGAACUUACAAAUUGAGGUUUGUGUGGAUCCUAAUAGAGGUUAAUGAAAGAUCCUCUAGUUCUCGAGCUAACAACAAAGCCUAUUCAAUAUAAGAUUCAAUCUUUAUGCCCUAUUUCAUAUAAAGAUCGAAUCUUUCAACAAGUAAAAGUGAGAUUCGAGUGUUUUGAGACUUGUUAUUGAUUUUACUAUCCACAAACACAUCAUUUGCUUUAUAAUUUUUUUUUUAGUUUUUUAAUGAUAUGGGGUCCUAUUAUGUUUGUGAGUCUAAUUCCCUCAAAUAAGUGUGUGUGUAUUUUAAUUUAACAAUUCGAGUGCAUUGCAUUGAACUUACAAAUUGAGGUUUGUGUGGAUCCUAAUAAAGGUUAAUGAAAGAUCCUCUAGUUCUCGAGCUAACAACAAAGCCUAUUCAAUAUAAAGAUUCAAUCUUUAUGCCCUAUUUCAUAUAAAGAUCGAAUCUUUCAACAAGUAGAAGUGAGAUUCGUGUGUUUUGAGACUUGUUAUUGAUUUUACUAUCCACAAACACAUCAUUUGCUUUAUAAUUUUUUUUUUGUUUUUUAAUGAUAUGGGGGUCCUAUUAUGUUUGUGAGUCUAAUUCCCUCAAAUCAGGUGUGUGUGUGUAUUUUAAUUUAACAAUUCGAGUGCAUUGCAUUGAACUUACAAAUUGAGGUUUGUGUGGAUCCUAAUAGAGGUUAAUAAAAGAUCCUCUAGUUCUCGAGCUAACAACAAAGCCUAUUCAAUAUAAAGUUUUAAUCUUUAUGCCCUAUUUAAUAUAAAGAUCGAAUCUUUCAACAAGUAGAAGUGAGAUUCGGUGUUUUGAGACUU